rnacentral:rRNA from 1 species
UGAGUAACACGUAUCCAACCUGCCGUCUACUCUUGGACAGCCUUCUGAAAGGAAGAUUAAUACAAGAUGGCAUCAUGAGUCCGCAUGUUCACAUGAUUAAAGGUAUUCCGGUAGACGAUGGGGAUGCGUUCCAUUAGAUAGUAGGCGGGGUAACGGCCCACCUAGUCUUCGAUGGAUAGGGGUUCUGAGAGGAAGGUCCCCCACAUUGGGACUGAGACACGGCCAA